UCUCCAAAAUGCCAAGUGAUUCUGAAUAUUCUGCUGACACCAACCAUCAAUACAGCUGCACCAGCCUAAAAAUGAUUUCCAUGUACACACACCUCCCAGGGACAUGGAAGCAAGAUUAGGGCUUUUUAUGGCACACUGGGACAGAAGUGAGAAGACGACAGCCUAAAGCCAGCUCUUAAUCAAAUGCAGAUUUACCUAUGGAGAACAGACCAAUUAUUAGCAAGUUGCAUUAGGAAACAGCUGGGGAACCAGA